GAUCGGGUAGCUCAAAUGGUAGAGCAGCCGACUUGUCAUCGAAAGGUUCUGGGUUCGGAUCCCAGUCCGAACU
rnacentral:tRNA from 1 species